rnacentral:rRNA from 1 species
UACGGAGGGUGCAAGCGUUAUCCGGAUUCACUGGGUUUAAAGGGUGCGUAGGCGGACAGGUAAGUCAGUGGUGAAAUCUCCGAGCUUAACUCGGAAACUGCCGUUGAUACUAUUUGUCUUGAAUAUUGUGGAGGUAAGCGGAAUAUGUCAUGUAGCGGUGAAAUGACUUAGAUAUGACAUAGAACACCAAAUUGCGAAGGCAUG